UACGUAGGGGGCGAGCGUUGUCCGGAUUUACUGGGCGUAAAGAGCGUGUAGGCGGCCAAGCAGGUCCGUUGUGAAAACUGGAGGCUUAACCUCCAGACGUCGACGGAAACCGCGUGGCUAGAGUCCGGAAGAGGAGAGUGGAAUUCCUGGUGUAGCGGUGAAAUGCGCAGAUAUCAGGAAGAACACCAAUGGCGAAGGCAGCUCUCUGGGACGUUACUGACGCUGAGACGCGAAAGCGUGGGGAGCAAACAGG
rnacentral:rRNA from 1 species